AAAGGGAGACCUAAUUCAGGUAGGAGACGAAAAAAAAGUAGUCGCUACCAAGAAUCAAUCCCAAAAGGUCGGAGCGAGGCGAAAUUGGCUUUCAAACUAGGUUCUGGGUUCAAACAAGACCUGAAUCAGGAACAAGGGCUAUUAGCUCAGGUGGUUAGAGCGCACCCCUGAUAAGGGUGAGGUCCCUGGUUCGAGUCCAGGAUGGCCCACCUGCACAGGUGGCAAAAACAAGAGAAGCUCCGAAUCAGCACCUUAUCUUACUGACAUAGUAAGAGAGAAUGCUGGCUCUGAGUAAAGAGUCCAGAGGAACCUUGAAAACUGCAUAGAGCUAGGUGAAAAAGCCAAAAAAGAAGACCGCAAG
rnacentral:tRNA from 1 species